UACGAAGGGGGCUAGCGUUGUUCGGAAUUACUGGGCGUAAAGCGUGCGCAGGCGGCUGCUCAAGUCAGGGGUGAAAGCCCAGAGCUCAACUCUGGAACUGCCUUUGAGACUGAGUGGCUUGAGUACGGGAGAGGUGAGUGGAAUUCCCAGUGUAGAGGUGAAAUUCGUAGAUAUUGGGAAGAACACCGGUGGCGAAGGCGGCUCACUGGCCCGUAACUGACGUUCAUGCACGACAGCGUGGGGAUCAAACAGG
rnacentral:rRNA from 1 species